GAUGAAGAACGCAGCGAAAUGCGAUAAGUAAUGUGAAUUGCAGAAUUCAGUGAAUCGUCGAAUCUUUGAACGCACAUUGCGCCCGCCAGUAUUCUGGCGGGCAUGCCUGUUCGAGCGUCAUUUCAACCAUCAAGCCCCCGGCUUGUGUUGGGGACCUGCGGCUGCCGCAGGCCCUGAAAACCAGUGGCGGGCUCGCUAGUCACUCCGAGCGUAGUAAUACAUCUCGCUCAGGGCGUGCUGCGGGUUCCGGCCGUUAAAAAGCCUUAUUUACCCAAGGUUGACCUCGGAUCAGGUAGGAAGACCCGCUGAACUUAAGCAUAUCAAUAAGCGGAGGA
rnacentral:misc_RNA from 1 species